rnacentral:rRNA from 1 species
CGUUAUUCGGAAUUACUGGGCUUAAAGAGUUCGUAGGCGGCACGAAAAGUAGGGUGUGAAAGCCCUCGGCUCAACCGAGGAAUUGCGCUCUAAACUGUCGUGCUCGAGGAACCUAGAGGUGAGCAGAACAGAUGGUGGAGCGGUGAAAUGCGUUGAUAUCAUCUGGAAUACCGGAGGCGAAGGCGGCUCACUGGGGGUUUUCUGACGCUGAGGAGCGAAAGCCAGGGUAGCGAACGGG